rnacentral:rRNA from 1 species
CUGAAGAGUUUGAUCCUGGCUCAGAUUGAACGCUAGCGGGAUGCUUUACACAUGCAAGUCGAACGGCAGCACGAGAGAGCUUGCUCUCUUGGUGGCGAGUGGCGGACGGGUGAGUAAUAUAUCGGAACGUGCCUAGUAGCGGGGGAUAACUACUCGAAAGAGUGGCUAAUACCGCAUACGCCCUACGGGGGAAAGGGGGGGAUCGCAAGACCUCUCACUAUUAGAGCGGCCGAUAUCGGAUUAGCUAGUUGGUGGGGUAAAGGCUCACCAAGGCAACGAUCCGUAGCUGGUUUGAGAGGACGACCAGCCACACUGGGACUGAGACACGGCCCAGACUCCUACGGGAGGCAGCAGUGGGGAAUUUUGGACAAUGGGGGAAACCCUGAUCCAGCCAUCCCGCGUGUAUGAUGAAGGCCUUCGGGUUGUAAAGUACUUUUGGCAGAGAAGAAAAGGUACCUCCUAAUACGAGGUACUGCUGACGGUAUCUGCAGAAUAAGCACCGGCUAACUACGUGCCAGCAGCCGCGGUAAUACGUAGGGUGCAAGCGUUAAUCGGAAUUACUGGGCGUAAAGCGUGUGUAGGCGGUUCGGAAAGAAAGAUGUGAAAUCCCAGGGCUCAACCUUGGAACUGCAUUUUUAACUGCCGAGCUAGAGUAUGUCAGAGGGGGGUAGAAUUCCACGUGUAGCAGUGAAAUGCGUAGAUAUGUGGAGGAAUACCGAUGGCGAAGGCAGCCCCCUGGGAUAAUACUGACGCUCAGACACGAAAGCGUGGGGAGCAAACAGGAUUAGAUACCCUGGUAGUCCACGCCCUAAACGAUGUCAACUAGCUGUUGGGGCCGUUAGGCCUUAGUAGCGCAGCUAACGCGUGAAGUUGACCGCCUGGGGAGUACGGUCGCAAGAUUAAAACUCAAAGGAAUUGACGGGGACCCGCACAAGCGGUGGAUGAUGUGGAUUAAUUCGAUGCAACGCGAAAAACCUUACCUACCCUUGACAUGUCUGGAAUCCCGAAGAGAUUUGGGAGUGCUCGCAAGAGAACCGGAACACAGGUGCUGCAUGGCUGUCGUCAGCUCGUGUCGUGAGAUGUUGGGUUAAGUCCCGCAACGAGCGCAACCCUUGUCAUUAGUUGCUACGCAAGAGCACUCUAAUGAGACUGCCGGUGACAAACCGGAGGAAGGUGGGGAUGACGUCAAGUCCUCAUGGCCCUUAUGGGUAGGGCUUCACACGUCAUACAAUGGUCGGGACAGAGGGUCGCCAACCCGCGAGGGGGAGCCAAUCUCAGAAACCCGAUCGUAGUCCGGAUCGCAGUCUGCAACUCGACUGCGUGAAGUCGGAAUCGCUAGUAAUCGCGGAUCAGAAUGUCGCGGUGAAUACGUUCCCGGGUCUUGUACACACCGCCCGUCACACCAUGGGAGUGGGUUUCACCAGAAGUAGGUAGCCUAACCGUAAGGAGGGCGCUUACCACGGUGGGAUUCAUGACUGGGGUGAAGUCGUAACAAGGUAGCCGUAUCGGAAGGUGCGGCUGGAUCACCUCCUUU